UACGUAGGGUGCAAGCGUUGCCCGGAUUUAUUGGGCGUAAAGGGCGCGUAGGCGGCUCUGCACGUCCGUUGUGAAAUCGCCCGGCUCAACUGGGCGGGGUCAGCGGAUACGGCAGAGCUUGAGCAAGCUAGGGGGCAAUGGAAUUCCCGGUGUAGUGGUGGAAUGCGUAGAUAUCGGGAGGAACACCUGUGGCGAAAGCGGCGCACUGGACCACAACUGACGCUGAGGCGCGAAAGCUAGGGGAGCAAACAGG
rnacentral:rRNA from 1 species